AUUAUUUUCGGGCUCCUUCUGCUGCUGAGACGACACUGACCAGCACAGUAACACUGUAGCUGGGAGAGGGACUCACGUCAGGGGAGCGAAUAGAGGACGUCCUGAAGUUGGUUCUGCAGGCACCCGGACUCGGGCCCAGGCACACAGUAGAUGCUCCAUGGUUGCUCCCAGCACGAAUGGAUCGGCGGCACUUACCCAGCACAGCACCUCCGCAUGGUGAUCUCCUUCUGGGACGUCAACAGGGCAGACUCUGCUUCUGGAAGAACCCAACUUGCAAUGCUCUCUGCCAUGGAGACAAAUUCUUCAGAAUCUUGCCAGUUUGAUCGAGUGGAAAGCUGCCUGGUUUAAAUUUGCCUCUCUUUGAUAACUGGGGGAGGGGGGGUGAAUUUUUUUUUUUUUUUAACAGGCAUUGACUGAAUUACUUCCUGUGUGGAUCGCCUUCUUAUAUUACUUCCUUUGCCUGUUUUUCUGUUGAGGUGUUUGUCUUUUUCUUAUUGGUAAGAGUGCAUAUAUGUAUUACCGUCAUAAAGAUAUUAAUCUUUGCUUUUUGUAUAUGGUUCAAGAAAUGUUCUCAGGUUUUCCAGUCUGUGGUGUGUGUUUCUUCUGUGGCUGAGAGCUCGCACGCGGUCGCACCGCCCUGUCACUUCCUAACUGUGCGACUUGGGUACACUCCUUCACCUGCAAGAGCCUUUGUUUUUCACCUGUAAUUGGAGGGAGUGUUAACACUUCGUAGGCAUCUUUGGGGGAUCAGGUGAUUUAAUAAAGUGCUUACAACAGUGCUUGGGGUAUAGUGA
rnacentral:lncRNA from 1 species